rnacentral:rRNA from 1 species
UACGUAGGUGGCAAGCGUUGUCCGGAUUUACUGGGCGUAAAGAGCGCGCAGGCGGUCGUUCAAGUCGCGUGUGAAAGCCCUCGGCUCAACUGAGGAAGUGCAUCCGAAACUGGCAGGCUAGAGUACUAAAGAGGGUCGCGGAAUUCCCGGUGUAGAGGUGAAAUUCGUAGAUAUUGGGAAGAACACCGGUGGCGAAGGCGGCGACCUGGUCCAUUACUGACGCUGAGGCGCGACAGCGUGGGGAGCAAACAGG